GCGCUAACCUAGAACCCA
rnacentral:snRNA from 1 species